UACGUAGGCAGCAAGCGUUGUUCGGAAUUACUGGGCGUAAAGAGUGUGUAGGCGGUUCUCUAAGUUCCGUGUGAAAUCUCCCGGCUUAACUGGGAGGGUGCGCGGAAGACUGGAGGGCUGGAGUAUGGGAGAGGAAAGCGGAAUUCCUGGUGUAGCGGUGAAAUGCGUAGAUAUCGGAAAGAACACCAACGGCGAAAGCACUCUGCUGGGCCGACACUGACACUGAGAGACGAAAGCUAGGGGAGCGAAUGGG
rnacentral:rRNA from 1 species